rnacentral:rRNA from 1 species
UACGUAGGGUGCGAGCGUUGUCCGGAAUUAUUGGGCGUAAAGAGCUCGUAGGCGGUCUGUCGCGUCGAUCGUGAAAACUUGGGGCUUAACCCUGAGCUUGCGGUCGAUACGGGCAUGACUGGAGUUCGGCAGGGGAGACUGGAAUUCCUGGUGUAGCGGUGAAAUGCGCAGAUAUCAGGAGGAACACCGAUGGCGAAGGCAGGUCUCUGGGCCAUUACUGACACUGAGAAGCGAAAGCAUGGGGAGCGAACAGG